rnacentral:lncRNA from 1 species
ACCAUGGAUAGGUGUGGGACAGGAUGGACCCAUGGAUAGGUGUGGGACAGGAUGGACUCAUGGAUAGGUGUGGGACAGGAUGGACUCAUGGAUAGGUGUGGGACAGGAUGGACUCAUGGAUAGAUGUGGGACAGGAUGGACUCAUGGAUAGGUGUGGGACAGGAUGGACUCAUGGAUAGGUGUGGGACAGGAUGGACUCAUGGAUAGGUGUGGGACAGGAUGGACUCAUGGAUAGGUGUGGGACAGGAUGGACUCAUGGAUAGAUGUGGGACAGGAUGGACUCAUGGAUAGGUGUGGGACAGGAUGGACUCAUGGAUAGAUGUGGGACAGGAUGGACUCAUGGAUAGAUGUGGGACAGGAUGGACCCAUGGAUAGAUGUAGGACAGGAUGGACCCAUGGAUAGAUGUGGGACAGGAUGGACUCAUGGAUAGAUGUGGGACAGGAUGGACUCAUGGAUAGGUGUGGGACAGGAUGGACUCAUGGAUAGGUGUGGGACAGGAUGGACUCAUGGAUAGAUGUGGGACAGGAUGGACUCAUGGAUAGGUGUGGGACAGGAUGGACCCAUGGAUAGAUGUGGGACAGGAUGGACUCAUGGAUAGGUGUGGGACAGGAUGGACCCAUGGAUAGGUGUGGGACAGGAUGGACAGACACGGGGAUACGUACGAUACUUCCAGACACACAAACUCUAUCUGCAGAGUCCUGUUCCUCUCCCUAUCCCACCACCUCUCUCCCCGCAGGCUUUCAUGUGCUGGUCCCUCUGCCUUCAAUUCCAGUCAAUUUAGAAGACCCCGUCGAAUCCUACCUGGCCAGACCUGCUGAUCCUGCCAAGAACGGAGUACUGAUGGCUGCCCCAGGGACAGAGCCAGCCUCUUACCUGCUUUGGGAAAGCCUGCUCCCAGGAAGUCUAGGACAGGGGACAUGUUUUCUACUUCUUUCAAAACUGAAAGCCAGUGGGACAGAAGACAUCGUGGAAGGGAGCAGAGCACCAUGCAGCAAGCUGCCUCUUACCUGUCUUCCUGGGACUUCCUGGGACUUCCUGGGACUGAGACUAAG